rnacentral:rRNA from 1 species
UGGUGGGUUGCCUUGUCAGGUUGAUUCCGGUAACGAACGAGACCUCAGCCUGCUAAAUAGUCACGGCUGCCUCUCGCAGCCGGCCGACUUCUUAGAGGGACUAUUGUCGUUUAGGCAAUGGAAGUAUGAGGCAAUAACA